UAUUUUUCAGGAGAAGUAAUCCAUAUUUAUUUUCGGACCAACUUAUUGUUUAUUUUUUGGCCCAGUUUCUUUCACUAAUCAAGUGUGUUAUUUUGAGGAGCAGGUGUUAUUUUUCAGGAGAAGUAAUCCAUAUUUAUUUUCGGACCAACUUAUUGUUUAUUUUUUGGCCCAGUUUCUUUCACUAAUCAAGUGUGUUAUUUUGAGGAGCAGGUGUUAUUUUUCAGGAGAAGUAAUCCAUAUUUAUUUUCGGAC